UUCUUUUUCUUUCUCUCUCUUUUCUUUUCUUUCUUUCUCUUUUGUGCUGCUCAGUUGCUGAGAGGGAGAAAAAGGAGAGAAGGGGGAAGGGGAACCAGAAGAACAAAAAGGAGAAG
rnacentral:ribozyme from 13 species